UACAGAGGGUGCGAGCGUUAAUCGGAAUUACUGGGCGUAAAGGGUGCGUAGGUGGCUUAGUAAGUUAGAUGUGAAAUUCCCGGGCUUAACCUGGGGACUGCGUCUGAUACUGCUGAGCUAGAGUACUGUAGAGGGAAGUGGAAUUUCCGGUGUAGCAGUGAAAUGCGUAGAUAUCGGAAGGAACAUCAGUGGCGAAGGCGACUUUCUGGACAGAUACUGACACUGAGGCACGAAAGCGUGGGGAGCAAACAGA
rnacentral:rRNA from 1 species